GUCGGCGGCUGCUGCCCGCCUGCGGGAGCGGGGCUGCUCCAGCCGCGCAGUGAGCGCUGAGGGGGGGGCUCUGCCCCGCGGGAGUGCAGGUGGAAGUUACACCCCGAGGUGGGAGGCUGCUCUCCUCCUGAAAGUAACUGCUGAGUCACGAGGCAGCGAAGGCAUAUUCUUAGGAGGCUUUCAUUGCUCUGAGCAGCUUUAAAUAAAGCAAGUUCUGAUGAAUGAUAAAGUUUAAAAUUUACCGCCGGGUUAGCUUUAAAAUGCUCUAACGGAAGGAAAACCAACAGACAAAGCCACAGUCAACGACGAGCACAAAGCCCUUGCAAUAUAUAGGCUGUUCCAGAUCCAGUGUUGUAGAAAUCAAUGAAGAGGUUCAAAGGCUAAUAAGAAGAGAAUGGGAAAGGAAUCUGAUGGAUGGACAGACAUGUCUCCUAGCACAAGACACAUCUGGAGUAUGCAGCACAGUUUGGAAAGAGUGAAUAAAGCUUGAGACACUGAUUGCCAAGGUUUGAUCAAUGCUUCCAGACUGAUGACAGUAAGAGCAUUCAGGCAGCAGGGACCUCUUCUUCCUGAGGGUAGCUGUGCUUUGCCAAGUGGGGAGAUCCACACCUCUGCAAGGCAAUUUCUGGAGCUGUGCAGGAGCGUGCUACAUUGAGGAGGUACCCAGCAACAUUUCUGGCAAGAAGAACAAACACUGCAGGACUUAACAACAUAUUCCAGUAUUUUUCAGUUCCUGUAGAGAAAUCAGCCUUUUUGGUGAGAAAAAUAUUAGUCUUUUUCUUUAUUUAUUAUUUUGCAUAAACAUAUGGUGUGAUGAUUAUUCCUCAUUUUCUGAGUGAUUCUGAAUAGGACUUACAGCCCACGGGAAUCAUUUAGUAAAGAAAAACUGCUAACCAGCUCUGCAGAGUAGAUAGAUGGUCUGCAUUAAUAAUCGUCUGUGGUCUUUGAUCCAUUUGGUGCAAUCCCAGCCAUUGCAGUCUGAUGGCAGCAGGAACUGUAAUAACACUGAGAGAGCCAUGUGACUUGGGCCAGGGCCAGGGUCUGUUUAUUUAUAGCACUUUAAUGAUGAACAUAAAUUAUUCUAACAUCAUUUGUACACAAUUUUAUUUAGCAGAAAAGAAUGUCUGAU